rnacentral:sRNA from 1 species
UACAAUCUACAAUAAGGUUAUAAUACGC